rnacentral:rRNA from 1 species
CACGUAGGGCGCGAGCGUUGUCCGGAAUUAUUGGGCGUAAAGAGCUCGUAGGCGGCCUGUUGCGUCCGCUGUGAAAGCCCGGGGCUUAACCCCGGGUCUGCAGUGGAUACUGGCAGGCUAGAGGUAGGUAGGGGAGAAUGGAAUUCCCGGUGUAGCGGUGAAAUGCGCAGAUAUCGGGAGGAACACCGGUGGCGAAGGCGGUUCUCUGGGCCUUACCUGACGCUGAGGAGCGAAAGCGUGGGGAGCGAACAGG